CAUGGUUGUCGUCAGCUCGUGUCGUGAGAUGUUGGGUUAAGUCCCGCAACGAGCGCAACCCCUACGUUUAGUGCUAACGCGUGAAGGCGAGCACUCUAGACGAACUGCCGUUGACAAAACGGAGGAAGUGGGAUGACGUCAAAUCAUCAUGCCCCCUAUGUUCUGGGCUACACACGUGCUACAAUGGCCGGUACAGACGGACGCAAAGCCGCGAGGUGGAGCAAAUCCUAAAAAGCCGGUCUCAGUUCGGAUUGCAGGCUGCAAUUCGCCUGCAUGAAGUCGGAAUCGCUAGUAAUCGCAGGUCAGCAUACUGCGGUGAAUACGUUCCCGGGCCUU
rnacentral:rRNA from 1 species